rnacentral:tRNA from 1 species
GGGCCAGUAGUUCAACCUGGUAGAAUGCUCCGCUGGCAGCGGAGAGGCUGCGGGUUCAAAUCCCGCCUGGUCCA